rnacentral:rRNA from 1 species
GUCUAUAGCCUUGCCACCCUGUACAUGCCCGAUGUCAUCUGAUCUCGGAAGCUAAGCAGGGUCGAGCCUGGUUAGUACUUGGAUGGGAGAUCACCUAGGAAUACCAGGUGCUGUAACUG